AUGAGCCAGAUGGAACGAUAGCUGCCAUUUUAAAGAGCAACGCGCUUCUUUUGGACGUUUCGCUCCGGCGUGACCUUGUGAACUUGCCUUCGUCGUGACCUCGAAAAUUCCCAGAUGUGGCUCCCCGAACACCCCUCCACAUCCCUGAGCUUAUUUGUGCAGGCUAUUACCCAAGCAGGAAGUGACAUCAACGGGUCCAAACUAAAAAUAUGUCGCAGGACGGACUCUGUAGGAUGUCCAGGACCGGUGUUUGCAUGAAAGGAUGCCUCGCACCGGCUCCACAGAGUGAUGCUCACUGAAGGCUGCAGGGAGAGCCCCACACAGGCGACACAGACAGACGCACGGGAGGCUGAGCUCUCUAUCAGGGCUGUCUGCUUAAAGGAGUGCAGUCUUCUAUCCAGCUAUGGCUGAGAUUUCAACUGACAUCCAAAGGCCCUGAUCUGGUCUGGUCUGGUCUGGUCUGCUCUGCUCUGGUCUGGUCUGCUCUGGUCGUACACCUGUUCCCUUAAAUGACGUUUACCCAGCCGUCUGUACCACUGCUCCUGGCUAUCUUCACCCUCUAUGGCUCCUUCAUGAUGGCCCCCUAAUCUCCGCCAGUGUGGUUCCAUGUACGCAUUGCAAGGCGACUGCGUAAUCAAGCCUGUGAACUCGACAUCUGAAGGAAGGAUUCUGUUUCUGAUCGCGUCGCCAUUGAAGUCCAUCCAUUUUCUGAACAUGGAUGUGUUGAGGCGCUCAAGCUUGCACUCUUUGAUGACGUUCAAAAAGAACAAGACGGGACUGACGGCAGUGGUUUGGAACCGCAGGGAAUAAUCGUGUUGUCGAGGUGUCGGGAAGAGGAUGUGUCGUUUAAACGCCAAGUGAGGAAUUAUUGACUGGAAUGAUGAGAUCUCACGAUGAUUCACUGCAGCAUCUCUUUUGUCUAAGGCAGAAGGGAUGUAACGUGUGUGCAGGGUCUCCUCAUUUGCCUUCAGGGAAUUGAAAAAGGCUGUAUUUUCGCCUCUCCUGAGUUAUAAACUGCUGGCCUUUCUGCUAGUCCUAUAGUCAUCCAGCCGUUUUAUUGCCUCAGUGGGGGAACAGAGUUCAGACAGCAGUCAUCGGCCAAAACAGAGGUAAAACUGUUUCGGCCUGCGCAGUGAGGCCGUCAAGCCAUUAGCGAGUCCAAGCACUGAUAAUGAAGCCAUGGAGGUGGUCUGAGCCAGUGCUGCAAAGGAGCUGGAGCACAGGAGGAAGGUAGAUUAGGAUAAUUACCUGGCCAUGGGGGCACAAUGAGGGAAAAAGAAAUCUCGCUUCCUGAAGGCCUUGAUCAGCAAAGGAGCACAGUACAAUCAGGUGUGCGCCACGUCCCUCACGUGUACGUGUUUGUUUGCUGUUUGUGUAGCUGUGGUUUAGGUCUCCCACACGUACUGUAAGGACAUCCUAAAUUUGGCAGAGACUUUGAAGAGCCUAUGAGGUCAGGUUUUAAAUUAUGGUCUGCACCCACACCGAGCGUUCUCUCCUCACUCUUGUAAAUCCAUUUUCCACACAAUGCAUUUCAAAUCAAAGUGGCGUCACCAUAACGCGCCUUAGGAAACAUUAAGCCAUAGUGCAUUGCUUUCAUGUGUGAUAGCAUAGCCCCUGUAUGCUUUGAUGUGCUCACUUUUUUUUUUUUAAUGCUUUAUUAAUAAUAACACAUCGGCUCCUUCUCACACCACCAUCAGCUGCUUCUUUCUCUCCUCCUGAACUGCAUCCCUCACUCUUCCCGUGCCUCAGCUGCUUCAUCCCUCUCCCCACAGCCCCUGAGCCUGGUCUCAGGAUUGGCCUGUUUGUGUUUGGGAGGGGGAUUAGAGGGAAUGACAUGGGCCUCGAGAUGAAGAGAGUCACAAAGACCUAUCAGAGGGCAGGGAGUCGAGGCACCGCAACACUAUUGGUCGCUGAGAAAAUCAGACACGUCUUCAUUUCUUCAAGCCAUCAUCGCCGUGCGCCUAGCUUUCAUUUCCCUGCCUGGGAGGGAAGAGAGAAGAGGGAGGGGGGGUCAGGAUCUGAGUUUCUGUUUGUGAGUUUAAGUGUGUGUGCACAUGUGUGUUUGCUCGCAUGUUGUGUGCAGUAAACAUAGAAAUGCGCGGGGCUGAGCAUGUAGACAGUGAUAGCAAUCACCUCCUCCAAAGCUGGCCAAAACACAAAGCAGCCUGCGCGUCUCCAGUGUUGUCCUAGCUGAGCGCCAUGAAUGGGAUGUCUGAUUCAUGCAAGCCUCUAAUUAUUUCAGCUUAAUCUCUGGAUGUUUUACAUUAGUGCUACCGGCAAAAGUAUCCCAAAAACACACAAUGGCUGCUCGAUAUUUGCUGAUAUUCCUGGCGAAUUCUGUGUGAUGUUAACAAUUUGCCGGAUCCAUUAGCAGCCCGCCGCAGUCGCACGUGUACCACACCUGCACAAUGACAUCCGCUGGUUUAAUUUUCUGCUUUUGUGGAGUCUUGAGCGUGUUUUGAGGUGCGUUCUCCUCUCUUUCCGUCACAGAGUCUUAUUGAAUUUUGUUUUCGUUAUUGGAUUAUCACAACUUCCACGGCGCAGUUCUCGAGUCACUCAACUGCAAUCUGUGGCUGUAUUCAGUAAAAAAAAUAAAUAAAUAUAUUAAUAUACAAAAAUAA